GCAGAAGUUCCAGUCACUGUUAGAAAGCACGUACAGUCUUCCACUUCCCUCUGCUUCGGGUCUGAUGACAUAACAACUAGAUUCCUGGCCACUUCAAUGGCUGAUCAUAUAUUCUACUACAUCCAGACGUGGCUGACGCCGCUGCUGGUUCUGACUGUGAGUCUGUGCGUGCUGAGGUUCUGCUGCAAAAUCUGCAGUAAAGUCUCAGACACUGGCUCAGAUCUGGACCUGUCAAACAGCGACCAUGUCUAUGUGAUUCCCAACCCCAUUCAUGUGAGAGUAGAGAGAGACGAACAAGAUGAGAUGAGCUCUCAUGAUGAUUCUGAGUUCACACCACCACCAUAUGACCUAGUGUGUCCACCACCGUCAUAUGAGUCCAGCUUUAAAUUAAAUAUUUCUGAUGUUCGAGUGACUCCAGACUCAGAGAUAGACACUUCCAACAUGCCACCACCACCGUACUGCCCACCUUUGCCCACCUCAUCCAGUCAUCAAUAGAGACUUCUGAAUAUAUAUUUUUGUUGGUGUGAUAACUAGUAUAACUAAUACAUGUUUUAUAACUGGAAUUGUGUAUUUGAAAGUUAAUACCAAAUAGGCGGGGCUAUUUGGAUUUUCCCUUGAACUUGGUACAGUUUUCCAGAGCAAUUAUUCAGCACUUUCCACAUCAGCCAAGAUAAGAUGCUGCUUUAUAUUAAUGAGCAAAUGAACCUGUCAUACGGUUACUCAACAGUCUAAUAGCUUUACAGUUUCUACGUCAGAGAUAAAUCUUAUCUUAAGAACAAAAUGUUUACUGCUUUUGCGAACCAUGUGAAGAGGAGUGGCUGAAAUGUAACCAUAUUUCCAUGUAUGUAUGUAAAUCCUGAAUAACUGAAUUACUUGUAGUUAGUAAAAUGCCUGAAGUGGACUAUCGAAAUAAAGUGCAACCAGAUAAAUUCUAAAAUGAUUGCUAUAUAUUAAAUCU
ensembl:lncRNA